rnacentral:rRNA from 1 species
GUGCCAGCCGCCGCGGUAAUACGUAGGGUGCGAGCGUUGUCCGGAAUUAUUGGGCGUAAAGGGCUCGUAGGCGGUUUGUCGCGUCGGGAGUGAAAACUCAGGGCUUAACCCUGAGCCUGCUUCCGAUACGGGCAGACUAGAGGUAUGCAGGGGAGAACGGAAUUCCUGGUGUAGCGGUGAAAUGCGCAGAUAUCAGGAGGAACACCGGUGGCGAAGGCGGUUCUCUGGGCAUUACCUGACGCUGAGGAGCGAAAGUGUGGGGAGCGAACAGGAUUAGAUACCCUGGUAGUCCACACCGUAAACGUUGGGCGCUAGGUGUGGGACUCAUUCCACGAGUUCCGUGCCGCAGCUAACGCGUUAAGCGCCCCGCCUGGGGAGUACGGCCGCAAGGCUAAAACUUAAAUGAAUUGACGGGG